GACAGAGGGUGCAAACGUUGCUCGGAAUUACUGGGCGUAAAGCGCACGUAGGCGGAUCGCUAAGUCAGGGGUGAAAUCCUGGAGCUCAACUCCAGAACUGCCUUUGAUACUGGCAAUCUCGAGUCCGGGAGAGGUGAGUGGAACUGCGAGUGUAGAGGUGAAAGUUCGUAGAUAUUCGCAAGAACACCAGUGGCGAAGGCGGCUCACUGGCCCGGUACUGACGCUGAGGUGCGAAAGCGUGGGGAGCAAACAGG
rnacentral:rRNA from 1 species